UACGGAAGGCAGCAGUGGGGAAUAUUGCACAAUGGGCGCAAGCCUGAUGCAGCCAUGCCGCGUGUAUGAAGAAGGCCUUCGGGUUGUAAAGUACUUUCAGUCGUGAGGAAGGUGUUAAGGUUAAUAACCUUAGCAAUUGACGUUAGCGACAGAAGAAGCACCGGCUAACUCCGUGCCAGCAGCCGCGGUAAUACGGAGGGUGCGAGCGUUAAUCGGAAUUACUGGGCGUAAAGGGCACGCAGGCGGUUAAUUAAGUUGGAUGUGAAAUCCCCGGGCUUAACCUGGGAAUGGCAUUCAAGACUGGUUAGCUAGAGUCUUGUAGAGGGGGUUAGAAUUCCAUGUGUAGCGGUGAAAUGCGUAGAGAUGUGGAGGAAUACCGGUGGCGAAGGCGGCCCCUGGACAAAGGCUGACGCUCAUGUGCGAAAGCGUGGGGAGCAAACGAGGGAUUAGAU
rnacentral:rRNA from 1 species